GCGGGCCGUGAGAGCGGGAGCCCGGAGAUGGGCACUGAGACAAGGGCCCAGGCCCUACGGGGCGCAGCAGUCGCGAAAACUUUGCAAUACACGAAAGUGUGACAGGGCUAUCCCGAGUGCCAUCCGCUGAGGAAGGCUUUUACCCAGUCUAGAAAGCUGGGGGAAUAAGGAGAGGGCAAGUCUGGUGUCAGCCGCCGCGGUAAUACCAGCUCUCCGAGUGGUGUGGAUGUUUAUUGGGCCUAAAGCAUCCGUAGCUGGCUAAGUUAGUCCCUUGUUAAAUCCACCGAAUUAAUCGUUGGAUUGCGGGGGAUACUGCUUAGCUAGGGGACGAGAGAGGCAGACGGUAUUUCCGGGGUAGGGGUGAAAUCCUAU
rnacentral:rRNA from 1 species